rnacentral:lncRNA from 1 species
CAGCUGCAUCAGACUGUGCCCUGUGUCCUGUUGGCAUGUCCCCAUGCUUCGUCCCUGGAGUGAACUACAACCUGGGACUUCCAGAGGCGGCUAUGGUUAGGCAGGGAGCAGCCAGUGUUCUGGAGUAGACCCAGACAUAAACCUAAUUCUUGAUUUGAGAACAGUGGCUCCUCUGAACUGGCUUGAUAAUGUGUUACCAGCCGGGGCGAGUCAGCCAUAGAGGGGCCUGGCAAUCCUUCUGCCCUGCAGAUUCUUUGACUCCUUCUUUUCUUUCUGUUGCUUUUGUUUGCCUAGUUGAGACAGGACCUCACUAUGAAGCCCAGGCUAGGCUUGAGUGAGAUCCCUCUGCCUCAGCCCUGCAGGGUGCUGGAUCCGGGAAUGUGCAGGCUCCUUACUGUUUGGAAGGAGGAAUUCUGCAGGGCUCAGAGCCGCAGGUGUUCCAUCCACCCUUCAGCUGCACUUCCUGUGGAUGAGACCCAGAGAAAUGGGAAGAUCAACUGGGCAGCAAGUGACAAUCACCUACUGAAUGUCACUGCUCCUCGAGUCACCAGAACAGACCGUUGUAUGAAUAAGAAUGACGUCUGCGAGCACCCGCCGUGCUCCACUGAUUGUAUGGGAUGCUCCUGGGAUUGGGCCAAGAGGUUCAACUCCAGCACCAGAGGGAGUAGGAUGCCAGGAGAGGCCAGCUUUGCAAACUCCCAACCCCCCGGGUUCUCAGUGGCAGAAGACUGAGUGUACAGGGACCAAGGUGGCUUGUGGUUGAGCUGAGACCACUGCACUUGGAGCAUCUGUAGCUCCAGACCCCUUCGCUUUCCUGACUCUACGGAUGAGGUGAUUCACGCUUGCUUCCUAUUCUGUCUUCAUGGAGUCAAGGAUGCUCUUAGCACCCGUAUUAGUCUAUUCUGGCUCUGAGAAGAGCAUGCUGUAGACUGGGUGGCUUCUAAACAACAGACCUUGAUCUCUUGGCUGUGAAGGCUGACAAGUUCAAGAUCAAGAGAUUCAGUGUCUCACAAAGGCCAGCUUCCGAUGACUUCUUCUCAUUGUGUCCUCCCAUGCCCGAGGGACGGAGUCUUCGGGUCUCAUUCACAAGGGCACUAUCCCCAGGGUCUAGCCAGCUCCCAAAGGUCUGCUUCCUGAUCCUAUCACACCAUGGACCAGGAUUGCAACCUUUGAUUGGAGGGUGGGGCAUAAAUAUCCAGUCACUGACAACACCCUUCCAGAGCCCUUAGGAUUCAAAAUGAUAAGUGAAUUCUCCAUUCUGGAACUGACACCACCUUCUGGAAAGAAAUAUACAGAAAGAGAAAGUAUACUAGUGUCAAGAAGAGAACGUCCCUGCUUUCCCAAAGAUAUACAAGUGGCCAUCUCAGCGGCUCUAGAUUCUAGAUCAUAGCACAGUGGAUAUGUUUGCUUAUAAAGAUAUUUUGAUCUUUUAGUUUAUGACUCAAAUGGAUUGCCAGAGUGGGGAUGAGGAGACCAAAAACAUAUCUAAGGCUCUUAGAACAUCUUUUCAAAUUGCCUUCCAAAUGGGUCAGAUUAAUUUUCAUCUUAUUCGGGAUCGGUACUGGCUGGUUUUGUGUGUCAACUUGACACAAGCUGGAGUUAUCACAGAGAAAGGAGCCUCCCCUGAGGAAAUGCCUUCAUGAGAUCCAGCUGUAGGGCAUUUUCUCAAUUAGUGAUGGGGGGGGGGGCGGGAAGGACCCCUGGUGGGUGGUGCCAUCCCUGGGCUGGUAGUGCUGGGUUCUAUAAGCAAGCAAGCUGAGCAAGCCAGGGGAAGCAAGCCAGUAAGUAACAUUCCUCCAUGGUCUCUGCAUCAGCUCCUGCUUCCUGACCUGCUUGAGUUCCUGUUCUGACUUCCCUUGGUGAUGAACAGCAGUGUGGAAGUGUAAGCUGAAUAAACCUUUUCCUCCCC